GAAAGCAAAACCAACAUGUUAAUUGAAGGAGGCCCAAGCGGGGCCUGCGACUCCAAAAGACACGUGGCGCCAGCUAGUGGUUCUACAGGUGACCAAGCUCAAAGGGAACCAGCUCUAAAACCCAACAAACAAUCGUCGGUCAACUAGCUUAACUCAACCUGAGCUUAAGUCUACACAUUCCAACAGGCGAUGUACCUAAACACACUAGCCCUAACAGAAAGCGGGCACAACAACAUAUGCUACGGGCACAACAACAUAUGCAUGGUCUGAAGGAGGCCUGAAGUGGCCUACUACUUCAGACAGACACCCCAGAUAGCAACUGAUUCAAUGUUGAAAUUCCAUCAGAAUCAUCAUUUUGGUUGAGAUUGAAAAUUCAAUGCUAAAUAAUAUUGAAUCAACGUUGAAAUUUCAAUGCUUUUCAGUGUUGAAAAAUACGAACAUUGAAUCAAUGUUGAUUUUUGGUCAGCUUCAUUUCCCCAGUGGUGGAACUUAGACUAAGCCAUGUCAAUCCAUCUGUCCCCUCAUUCAACACUUUAUUCACAUUAGCAUUCAUGCUCCUCAUGACCCUUCCCUCUAGUCCCACAAAAUAAAUAAAUAAAUAAAUAAAUAAAUAAAUAAAUAAAUAAAAAUCCUGCCAACUGAAGUGUGUAGAUAAACUCCAACCAGUUGGAAGUCAGUGAGAUGAACCAGCUAGACAUUAUUAUUAUUAUAAUGAUGUUACACUUUUUCAACUUAAACACUAAAUUCACAACUACUCAAAACAUCUCACCUGCACUUUAAGGAUCCCGCGUCAGACGUUUUUCUGACGUCACGACGCACGAGCGUCUUGAACUUUCUGCUCGAAUCGAUCAAUUUUCUCGGACUGAAAGGUAGGUUGAACUUGGAAAUUUGUUUUAUUUUAUAUAUUGGAUAAUGCAGCGUUUGAAUGUAUUUUACAGUUAAUUAACGUUGUUUAUGAACAUGAAUAGUAACAGAAUCGUAAUUAAUCGAAUUUAAAAUGAAUUCCUCCUUUACCGUGUAGCAGCUCGAGAUAUUUGAAAUGCUGUGGGCGGGAAGUGCGCGUGGAGCGGGACAAAACGCCCGAGGCUGUGGGGAUUCCUGCAUUAUAAUAUUGAGUUAACUUUUUAAAUUAAUAUUUGUUUGUUCUUUUAUUUGUCUGCCCGAAAUGAUGAUCCAAAUCUGUAAGUAAAGACUUUGUGAACUAACGUUACAUUUGCCUAACUUGGUGUUUUGCUUCGUCCAGGGAAAAAUGUUAGGAUUUUUUUAGUAUAAAUCAUGAAUUUUUUUUUUUUUUUUUUUUUUUUUAGUAGUAACGUUAGUAGAAAUAGUAGAUUAUAAUAGUAGUAUUUGCACAACUAAUUAAUUGACCUAGCAAACAACUUUCAACCACUAAUAAAUGCUGUAAAAAUGUUUCUCCUAUUAGGACCUAAAGCUUUUCAAUGUUUUUUGUUGACUGAGGACACUUUGCAAUACUUGACUGAAAAAAUUCACCUGAGAAGAGUGUGUCCUGUGGGCCUUUUUUUCCUGAGAGAAAGUCCUGAAGACCUCCUCAACGAGUACCUUGAUAACCAGACAGAUGCAGCUCUUCAUGGUGGUGUUAAUUAUUCUGAAGGAGGGGGAGAACUACAUGAACCACCUGCUGACAUUGACAUUGUGAUCGACAUUGUAGUACAUUGUAACAGUCACAUUUCCAAAUAAUUAUGACCCACCUUCCGUCAGUCAUACACUACUACCGAUCAAAUGUUUAAGAACAUUGUGCAGUUCUAACUUCCUGUUUGUUUUUGUAUUCUUUAGAUGCCUUACAACAACAACAAGUGAAGGCUGAGAAAAAGGAGGCCUGAAAGUUUGUAUUUGCUGUUACUGAAAAACUGGCUCUGUUAUGCUCCUGAUCAGCUUGCGGGCAUUGCUCGUGGGACAUACUUUUUGCAUUAGAAGAGUAGCUUCAAUCCUUAAAGCUUCAAGUCCUGAACAGUGAACUCUGGUAGUGUUUCAGUCUGUAGUACUGUGUUUCUGUCUUCGUUGUUGAGUUUCCAUGUCUAUUUACUUCCAUUUUACAGAUACAGGUUGCAUUUAUGUUGUCACGGUUUUCCAGGCUCUUUUUCCAACGACUAAAAUGCAUGUUUGAGCUGUUUUAACUGAAAGUAACUUGCACUGACAUCUUAAAAUUUGUCUUUGCUAUUGUUUUGUCUCAAGAUGAACGCCAAUAAUGUAUUUAUUUAUUUAUUUAUUUAUUUAUUUUUUGACUACUUAACCCCUUUCACAGACAAGGCUUAAACCUAGUCCCAGACUAAAAUGCAUGUCUGAGCUGUUUUAACUGAAAAGAUAUCUCAAAAUAUGUCACUGCCAUUGUUUUGUCUCAAGAUAAACACUUUUCUAAGGCAUGUCUAUAAAAUCUACUUAAAUAAUUGAACUAAGGUCUGAGCCUGGCUUAGCCUAAGCCCUGUCUGUGAAACCAGGGGCCUGUACCAUGAUGGUAGUUGAACAAACUCAGGGUUAUAGGAUUAGUUUCAAGUUGACAAAACCAAACCACUCCAAUCCGGCUUUGUUGGUACCAUGAUGCUGAUCAUCAACUUUCUCUGUCAACUCAGGCUUUGAUCCUGAGUUUGUGGAGCACGUGCACAUGAAUGCGUAACAUCAGUGGCAAACAGCCAAUCACAUGCCUUGCAACAGAAAGAAACUGUGAUUUACUUCUCGCGAGAGAGUCAACGCGAUUCAAAACUCUUUUGCUGAAGAAAAUUAAGAAUUUAAAUGCAUUUACACUAAAGAAGAAACUUUUCCAUGAAAAAGGACAAAUAAAAGAAAUUAUCUUGCUCUAUCAGAGCAAGUGAAAAUUGUCAAGUGUUUAUAUAGUUUAUUAUAUACAGCAAUAGAGACUCAAACAUGUAAGGUUAUGUAGUCAUUUUUAAAGAGUUAUCUGUUGAUUCUACAGCUUACAUAUGAUCUGUAUAUAUUAAUAUUUAUUUAAAAUAAAUGCUUAAUAAUAACUGUUAAACUAAAAUUGCUUGUGUGAAAUGGAUUAAUAAUAUAGAUCAUAUAAUUAUUUAAAUCAUAUAUAAAUCAUAAAAUAAUUCUAUAAAUCAUUAAAGCAAGACAAUUUCAUCGUUAAAUAUUUGUUUUUACUAUAUAGUGAUCUUUAAUUUGGAGGAAGAGAAACUGGGGGAGGGACUUUAUUGUGUUGGAUGUGUCAGUGUCACUUUGCUCACAUCUGAUUGGUCCAAUUUCGGUUUGAGAUCUCUUACCCAGAACAUAACCUGCCCCGGAGCAGGUUAGCUGUGGAGCGUAAGUUACUAUGGUGAUGAACACCGCUAAAAGCCAAGUCACUUUCAUGGUACCUAAAACCAGGAUUGGCACAAACUAAUCUGAAACUUAACUGGCUAGCCAGCUAAUCCGGCUUCAUGGUACAGGCCCCAGGUUUAUUUGUUUGUAACCAUGAAAUGCCAUUUUUACAGCCACUUGUUUUUCUUGAAUGUGAUGUUAAUUCCUGUUCAAACAGUGUGUGGUUAUAAAUAAAUACAUUUGUAUGUAAACUGAAGGAAGUUGUGAAUUUUUCAUUAAAACCAUA